rnacentral:rRNA from 1 species
GAUGAACGCUAGCUACAGGGCUUAAACACAUGCAAGUCGAGGGGAAACGACAUCGGAAAGCUUGUCUUUUGGUGGGCGUCGACCGGCGCACGGGUGAGUAACGCGUAUCCAACCUGCCCAUCACUUGGGAUAACCUUGCGAAAGUAAGACUAAUACCCAAUGACGUCUCUAGAAGACAUCUGAAAGAGAUUAAAGAUUUAUCGGUGAUGGAUGGGGAUGCGUCUGAUUAGCUUGUUGGCGGGGUAACGGCCCACCAAGGCGACGAUGGGUAGGGGUUCUGAGAGGAAGGUCCCCCACAUUGGAACUGAGACACGGUCCAAACUCCUACGGGAGGCAGCAGUGAGGAAUAUUGGUCAAUGGGCGAGAGCCUGAACCAGCCAAGUAGCGUGUGGGACGAAUGCCCUAUGGGUUGUAAACUGCUUUUAUAAGGGAAUAAAGUUAGUCUCGUGAGACUUUUUGCAUGUACCUUAUGAAUAAGGACCGGCUAAUUCCGUG